AUUGAACGCUGGCGGCAGGCCUAACACAUGCAAGUCGAACGAGUGGCGGACGGGUGAGUAAUGUCUGGGAAACUGCCUGAUGGAGGGGGAUAACUACUGGAAACGGUAGCUAAUACCGCAUACCAUCGGAUGUGCCCAGAUGGGAUUAGCUAGUAGGUGGGGUAAAGGCUCACCUAGGCGACGAUCACUAGCUGGUCUGAGAGGAUGACCCGCCACACUGGAACUGAGACACGGUCCAGCCUCCGACGGGAGGCAGCAGUGGGCAAUAUUGCACACUGGGCGCAAGCCUGAUUCAUCCAUGCCGCGUGUAUGAAGAAGGCCUUCGCGUUGUUAAGUACUUUCAUCGGGGAGGCGUUACCCGCAGAAGAAGCCCCGGCUAACUCCGUGCCAGCAGCCGCGGUAAUUC
rnacentral:rRNA from 1 species